rnacentral:rRNA from 1 species
UUGGGAAUAUUGCGCAAUGGACGAAAGUCUGACGCAGCGACGCCGCGUGAAGGAUGAAGGCCUUCGGGUUGUAAACUUCUUUUAUAGGGGACGAUUGUGACGGUACCCUAUGAAUAAGGGCCUGCUAACUACGUGCCAGCAGCAGCGGUAAUACGUAGGGCCCGAGCGUUAUCCGGAUUUAUUGGGCGUAAAGAGCAUGUAGGCGGUUUAGUAAGUCGGAUUUUAAAGUCCCGGGCUUAACUCGGGUUUUGGAUUCGAUACUGCUUUUCUAGACAAUGGCAGGGGCAAGUGGAAUUAGUGGUGUAGCAGUGAAAUGCGUUGAUCUCACUAAGAACACCGAUGGCGAAGGCAGCUUGCUAGGUCAUUUGUGACGCUGAGAUGCGAAAGCGUGGGGAGCGAACGGG